GGUUAAGCGACUAAGCGUACACGGUGGAUGCCCUGGCAGUCAGAGGCGAUGAAGGACGUGCUAAUCUGCGAAAAGCGUCGGUAAGGUGAUAUGAACCGUUACAGCCGGCGAUGUCCGAAUGGGGAAACCCAGUGCAAUUCGUUGCACUAUCGUUAACUGAAUACAUAGGUUAACGAGGCGAACCGGGGGAACUGAAACAUCUAAGUACCCCGAGGAAAAGAAAUCAACCGAGAUUCCCCCAGUAGCGGCGAGCGAACGGGGAGCAGCCCAGAGUCUGAAUCAGCUUGUGUGUUAGUGGAACGGUCUGGAAAGUCCGACGGUACAGGGUGAUAGUCCCGUACACCAAAAUGCACAGGUUGUGAACUCGAAGAGUAGGGCGGGACACGUGGUAUCCUGUCUGAAUAUGGGGGGACCAUCCUCCAAGGCUAAAUACUCCUGACUGACCGAUAGUGAACCAGUACCGUGAGGGAAAGGCGAAAAGAACCCCGGCGAGGGGAGUGAAAAAGAACCUGAAACCGUGUACGUACAAGCAGUGGGAGCACCUUCGGGUGUGACUGCGUACCUUUUGUAUAAUGGGUCAGCGACUUAUAUUCUGUAGCAAGGUUAACCGUAUAGGGGAGCCGCAGGGAAACCGAGUCUUAACUGGGCGUUAAGUUGCAGGGUAUAGACCCGAAACCCGGUGAUCUAGCCAUGGGCAGGUUGAAGGUUGGGUAACACUAACUGGAGGACCGAACCGACUAAUGUUGAAAAAUUAGCGGAUGACUUGUGGCUGGGGGUGAAAGGCCAAUCAAACCGGGAGAUAGCUGGUUCUCCCCGAAAGCUAUUUAGGUAGCGCCUCGUGAAUUCAUCUUCGGGGGUAGAGCACUGUUUCGGCUAGGGGGUCAUCCCGACUUACCAACCCGAUGCAAACUACGAAUACCGAAGAAUGUUAUCACGGGAGACACACGGCGGGUGCUAACGUCCGUCGUGAAGAGGGAAACAACCCAGACCGCCAGCUAAGGUCCCAAAGUCAUGGUUAAGUGGGAAACGAUGUGGGAAGGCACAGACAGCCAGGAUGUUGGCUUAGAAGCAGCCAUCAUUUAAAGAAAGCGUAAUAGCUCACUGGUCGAGUCGGCCUGCGCGGAAGAUGUAACGGGGCUAAACCAUGCACCGAAGCUGCGGCAGCGACACUAUGUGUUGUUGGGUAGGGGAGCGUUCUGUAAGCCUGCGAAGGUGUGCUGUGAGGCAUGCUGGAGGUAUCAGAAGUGCGAAUGCUGACAUAAGUAACGAUAAAGCGGGUGAAAAGCCCGCUCGCCGGAAGACCAAGGGUUCCUGUCCAACGUUAAUCGGGGCAGGGUGAGUCGACCCCUAAGGCGAGGCCGAAAGGCGUAGUCGAUGGGAAACAGGUUAAUAUUCCUGUACUUGGUGUUACUGCGAAGGGGGGACGGAGAAGGCUAUGUUAGCCGGGCGACGGUUGUCCCGGUUUAAGCAUGUAGGCUGGUUGUCCAGGCAAAUCCGGAUAAUCAAGGCUGAGGUGUGAUGACGAGGCACUACGGUGCUGAAGUAACAAAUGCCCUGCUUCCAGGAAAAGCCUCUAAGCAUCAGGUAACAUCAAAUCGUACCCCAAACCGACACAGGUGGUCAGGUAGAGAAUACCAAGGCGCUUGAGAGAACUCGGGUGAAGGAACUAGGCAAAAUGGUGCCGUAACUUCGGGAGAAGGCACGCUGGUGUGUAGGUGAAGCCCCUGCGGGUGGAGCUGAGACCAGUCGAAGAUACCAGCUGGCUGCAACUGUUUAUUAAAAACACAGCACUGUGCAAACACGAAAGUGGACGUAUACGGUGUGACGCCUGCCCGGUGCCGGAAGGUUAAUUGAUGGGGUUAUCCGUAAGGAGAAGCUCUUGAUCGAAGCCCCGGUAAACGGCGGCCGUAACUAUAACGGUCCUAAGGUAGCGAAAUUCCUUGUCGGGUAAGUUCCGACCUGCACGAAUGGCGUAAUGAUGGCCAGGCUGUCUCCACCCGAGACUCAGUGAAAUUGAACUCGCUGUGAAGAUGCAGUGUACCCGCGGCAAGACGGAAAGACCCCGUGAACCUUUACUAUAGCUUGACACUGAACAUUGAGCCUUGAUGUGUAGGAUAGGUGGGAGGCUUUGAAGCGUGGACGCCAGUCUGCGUGGAGCCAACCUUGAAAUACCACCCUUUAAUGUUUGAUGUUCUAACGUUGGCCCCUUAUCGGGGUUGCGGACAGUGUCUGGUGGGUAGUUUGACUGGGGCGGUCUCCUCCCAAAGCGUAACGGAGGAGCACGAAGGUUAGCUAAUCCUGGUCGGACAUCAGGAGGUUAGUGCAAUGGCAUAAGCUAGCUUGACUGCGAGCGUGACGGCGCGAGCAGGUGCGAAAGCAGGUCAUAGUGAUCCGGUGGUUCUGAAUGGAAGGGCCAUCGCUCAACGGAUAAAAGGUACUCCGGGGAUAACAGGCUGAUACCGCCCAAGAGUUCAUAUCGACGGCGGUGUUUGGCACCUCGAUGUCGGCUCAUCACAUCCUGGGGCUGAAGUAGGUCCCAAGGGUAUGGCUGUUCGCCAUUUAAAGUGGUACGCGAGCUGGGUUUAGAACGUCGUGAGACAGUUCGGUCCCUAUCUGCCGUGGGCGCUGGAGAAUUGAGGGGGGCUGCUCCUAGUACGAGAGGACCGGAGUGGACGCAUCACUGGUGUUCGGGUUGUCAUGCCAAUGGCACUGCCCGGUAGCUAAAUGCGGAAGAGAUAAGUGCUGAAAGCAUCUAAGCACGAAACUUGCCCCGAGAUGAGUUCUCCCUGAGACUUUAAGUCUCCUGAAGGAACGUUAAAGACGAUGACGUUGAUAGGCCGGGUGUGUAAGCGCAGCGAUGCGUUGAGCUAACCGGUACUAAUGAACCGUGAGGCUUAACCUU
rnacentral:rRNA from 1 species